UAGGAAGUAGGAAUCCUUUUAAAUUAUUUCGACUUUUUUUUUUUUACAGGUGAGAUCUGUUAACCUUAUCCACAUUCCCCGAUACACUGAAAAGCCGAGGAGCGGGUGAGGCCAUACAGUGGAGUGGGUGAGCACCAGGGCUCUCAAGGUCGGGUUCAUCUCUCCUACACUCUGGAUGUGACCUAGGACAAGUCACUUAACUGAUCUGUGCCUGAUUCCUCGUCUGUCAGAUGAACAGUAGCCCCUGCCUCAUAAGAGAGGUAGUAAGAUCAGGUGAAUGAAUACCCUUGAAAAUUUUUGCUUAGUGAUUGAUUAUUAGCCUUUAUUAGUUA
rnacentral:lncRNA from 1 species